UUAACAGGCCAGACCUCCUUGACAUAGUCUGAUCUCAUCAUAUCUCAGAGGCUAAUCAGGGCUGGGCCUGGUUAGUACUUGGAUAAGAGACUGUUUGGAAUACCAGGUGUUAGG
rnacentral:rRNA from 1 species